UACGUAGGGUGCAAGCGUUGUCCGGAAUUAUUGGGCGUAAAGAGCUCGUAGGCGGUUUGUCGCGUCGGCCGUGAAAACUUGGGGCUUAACCCCAAGCCUGCGGUCGAUACGGGCAGACUUGAGUUCGGCAGGGGAGACUGGAAUUCCUGGUGUAGCGGUGAAAUGCGCAGAUAUCAGGAGGAACACCGGUGGCGAAGGCGGGUCUCUGGGCCGAUACUGACGCUGAGGAGCGAAAGCGUGGGGAGCGAACAGG
rnacentral:rRNA from 1 species